CGGUCGCAUCACAUUGGAACACCAAUUCCUUCACGAUCUAUGAAGUUAAGCAACCUCGCGCCUGGUCAGUACUUAGAUGGGUGAUCGCUUUAGAAUACCAUGUGCCGUAA